GGCGGUGCGCAUAACACAUGCAAGUCGAGCGAGGGCUUAUUUCUCGCAAGAGAGAUGAGUUCCUAGCGGCGAACGGGUGAGUAACACGUGGGCAACCUUUCCUAUCGCGGGGGAUAACACCGGGAAACCGAUGCUAAUACCGCAUGUCGUCACUGGCCGCAUGGCUGGUGAAGAAAGCAGCAAUGCACGAUGGGGUGGCCCGCGGCCUAUCAGCUAGUCGGUGGGGUAACGGCCUACCGAGGCGAUGACGGGUAGCUGGUCUGAGAGGACGGCCAGCCACACGGGGACUGAGACACGGCCCCGACUCCUACGGGAGGCAGCAGUGAGGAAUCUUCCGCAAUGGGCGAAAGCCUGACGGAGCGACACCGCGUGUGGGAUGAAGUCUUUCGGGAUGUAAACCACUGUCGGAGGGGAAGACAAAAAAGACGGUACCCUCCAAGAAAGCCCCGGCUAACUACGUGCCAGCAGCCGCGGUAAUACGUAGGGGGCAAGCGUUAUCCA
rnacentral:rRNA from 1 species